rnacentral:rRNA from 1 species
GGGGUGGCAAGCGUUACUCGGAAUUAUUGGGUGUAAAGGGCAGGUAGGUGGCUCUAUAAGUGAGGGGUGAAAUCCUGCGGUUUAAUCGCAGAACAGCCUUUCAAACUGUAGAGCUUGAGAGUGACAGAGGAAGAUGGAAUUCCUGGUGUAAGGGUGAAAUCUGUAGAUAUCAGGAAGAACACCAACGGCGAAGGCAAUCUUCUGGGUCACUUCUGACACUGAGCUGCGAAAGCUAGGGGAGCAAACAGAAUUAGAUACUCUGGUAGUCCUAGCCGUAAACGAUGAAUACUAGGUGUKGGUUCCUUCGGGAAUCAGCGCCGAAGCUAACGCAUUAAGUAUUCCACCUGGGGACUACGGUCGCAAGGCUAAAACUCAAAGGAAUUGACGG